UACGAGGGGAGCAAGCGUUGUUCGGAUUUACUGGGCGUAAAGGGCGCGUAGGCGGCUCUACAAGUCACUUGUGAAAUCUCCGGGCUUAACUCGGAACGGUCAAGUGAUACUGUCGAGCUAGAGUACAGAAGGGGCAACUGGAAUUCUCGGUGUAGCGGUGAAAUGCGUAGAUAUCGAGAGGAACACCUGCGGCGAAAGCGGCUCUCUGGGACGGUACUGACGCUGAGACGCGAAAGCGUGGGGAGCAAACAGG
rnacentral:rRNA from 1 species